AAUUAUGGUGGGCCGAGUGAGGCCGAUUCGUUCGGGCCGUUUUCCUUGUGUCGCGGUAGUAUCAACCUUGCUCGGUUCGCCACCAA
rnacentral:antisense_RNA from 15 species